rnacentral:rRNA from 1 species
GAUGAACGCUGGCGGCGUGCCUAAUACAUGCAAGUCGAGCGAACGGACGCGAAGCUCGCUUCUCCGAUGUUAGCGGCGGACGGGUGAGUAACACGUGGAUAACCUACCUAUAAGACUGGGAUAACUUCGGGAAACCGUAGCUAAUACCGGAUAAUAUUUUGAACUGCAUGGUUCAAAAGUGAAAGACGGUCUUGCUGUCACUUAUAGAUGGAUCCGCGCUGCAUUAGCUAGUUGGUAAGGUAACGGCUUACCAAGGCAACGAUGCAUAGCCGACCUGAGAGAGUGAUCGGCCACACUGGAACGUGGACACGGUCCAGAGUCCUACGGGAGGCAGCAUUAGGUAAGCUUCCGCAAUGGACGGAAGCCUGACGGGGCAGCGCCGCAUGAGUCAUGAAGGUCUUCGGAUCGUAAAACUCUGUUCUUAGGGAAGAACAUAUUUGUAAGUAACUGAGCACAUCUUGACGGUACCUAAUCAGAAAGCCACGGCUAACUCCGUG